rnacentral:rRNA from 1 species
CCUACGGGAGGCAGCAGUGAGGAAUAUUGGUCAAUGGCCGGAAGUCUGAACCAGCCAAGCCGCGUGAGGGAGGAAGGCGCAGCGCGUCGCAGACCUCUUUUGCCGGGGGACAAAAGGCCGGACGGGUUCGGUUCUGCGGGUACCCUGAGAACAAGCAUCGGCUAACUCCGUUCCAGCAGCCGCGGUAAUACGGGGGAUUCGAGCGUUAUCCGGAUUCAUUGGGUUUAAAGGGUGCGCAGGCGGGCCGUUACGCCGGCGGUGAAAUCGCGGGGCUCAACCCCGGCGAGCCGUCGGAACUGGGGGCCUUGAGUGCGGCGGAGGCAUGCGAAAUGCGCGGUGUAGCGGUGAAAUGCAUAGAUAUCGCGCAGAACCCCGAUUGCGAAGGCAGCUUGCUGCAGCGGAACUGACGCUGAUGCUCGAAAGCGCGGGUAUCGAACAGGAUUAGAUACCCUUGUAGUC